GGAGGGGUACCCAAGUGGUCAACGGGGGCAGACUGUAAAUCUGCUGGCAAUGCCUUCGUAGGUUCAAAUCCUGCCCCCUCCA
rnacentral:tRNA from 1 species